UGUACAUUGAAAAGAAGUUUUUGUUAUUCAUAAAUCUUCCUGGUGAUUUCAAAAUGGCCGCUUGGUCAGGCUGAGGGAGCGGGACAGGAAGUCAUGAGGCAGCACCCCAUGCUGCAUGAAGAAAGCGGAGCCAAGGUUGUAAGACAAACAGCAAAGCCAGUAAGAAGGUGUCGAAGAAUAAUGAUCCUAGCAUGGGUCCAAAAACAAGCCGUGCAAAUAAGAAAGAGUGUACAAGCAUAUCAGGGCUGAACAAUGCAAAGCAGUGAUGUGUGGUUCUCCAGUGCCAGGCUACACCUGAAAGCAGAAAUAACGAACCAAAGGAAAAGUGAUAAAGGAGAGAAGGAAAUUAAGGAGAGAAACCACGGAGAGAGUGCUCUCAGAAGAUGCCUUCAGCCACCAGGAGCAGACACGCUGAAAACAGGAGAGAACA